rnacentral:rRNA from 1 species
AGAGUUUGAUCCUGGCUCAGGACGAACGCUUGCGGCGUGCCUAAGAAAUGCAAGUCGAACGGGCAUCGGAGCAAUCCGGUGUCAGUGGCGAACGGUCGCGUAACACGUAGGCAACCUGCCUCAAAGUGGGGGAUAACGACCCGAAAGGGUUGCUAAUACCGCAUGUGGCCAGUCUCUCGCAUGGGAGAGUGUCUAAAGGGUCCGGGUAAUAGCGGAUUCGCUUUGAGAUGGGCUUGCGGCCUAUCAGCUUGUUGGUGGGGUAACGGCCUACCAAGGCAGUGACGGGUAGCUGGUCUGAGAGGAUGGUCAGCCGGAUUGGGACUGAGAUGCGGCCCAGACUCCUACGGGGGGCAGCAAUUAGGAAUCUUGCGCAAUGGGGGCAACCCUGACGCAGCGACGCCGCGUGAAGGAUGACGGUCUUCGGAUCGUAAACUUCUUUUAUCGGGGAAGAAUAAAUGACGGUACCCGAUGAAUAAGCCCCGGCUAACUACGUGCCAGCAGCCGCGGUAAUACGUAGGGGGCGAGCGUUGUCCGAAGUUACUGGGCGUAAAGCGCGCGUAGGCGGUCCUUUAAGUCUGGUGUGAAAGGUUCAGGGCUCAACCCGAAGAGUGCACUGGAUACUGGGGGACUUGAGUUUGGGAGAGGAGAGUGGAAUUCCUGGUGUAGCGGUGAAAUGCGUAGAUAUCAGGAGGAACACCGAUGGCGAAGGCAGCUCUCUGGCCCGAAACUGACGCUGAGGUGCGAAAGCGUGGGGAGCGAACGGGAUUAGAUACCCCGGUAGUCCACGCCGUAAACGAUGAGUGCUAGGUGUCAGGGGUAUCGACCCCCCUGGUGCCGCAGCUAACGCAUUAAGCACUCCGCCUGGGGAGUACGGCCGCAAGGUUGAAACUCAAAGGAAUUGACGGGGGCCCGCACAAGCGGUGGAGCAUGUGGUUUAAUUCGUCACUAACCGAAGAACCUUACCCAGGCUUGACAUCGCGUGAAAGACCAUGAAAGUGGUCCCUCCCUUCGGGGACACAAAGACAGGUGUUGCAUGGCUGUCGUCAGCUCGUGUCGUGAGAUGUUGGGUUAAGUCCCGCAACGAGCGCAACCCUCACCGGAUGUUGCCAGCGUCAAGUCGGGCACUCUUCCGGAACUGCCCGUGCAAGCGGGAGGAAGGUGGGGAUGACGUCAAGUCGGCAUGGCCCUUACGCCUGGGGCUACACACAUGCUACAAUGGACACGAACAAAGGGAACCGAGCCCGCGAGGUGGAGGCAAUCUCACAAAUGUGUCCGCAGUUCGGAUAGCAGGCUGCAACUCGCCUGCUUGAAGCCGGAAUCGCUAGUAACCGCCGGUCAGCUAAACGGCGGUGAAUACGUUCCCGGGCCUUGUACACACCGCCCGUCAAGUCACCUGAAUUGUCUGCACCCGAAGUCGCCGGCCUAACCAACUUGUCUGGAGGGAGGCGCCGAAGGUGUGGGGAGUAAGGGGGACUAAGUCGUAACAAGGUAACC